ensembl:snRNA U2 U2 spliceosomal RNA
AUCGCUUCUCGGCCUUUUGGCUAAGAUCAAGUGUAGUAUCUGUUUUUAUCAGUUUAAUAGUGCUGUAGUGAACAUAGGGGUGCAUGUAUCUUUUAGAAUUAAUGUUUUUGUUUCCUUUGGAUAAAUUCCA